CCUACGGGUGGCAGCAGUGAGGAAUAUUGGUCAAUGGACGAGAGUCUGAACCAGCCAAGUAGCGUGAAGGAUGACUGCCCUAUGGGUUGUAAACUUCUUUUAUAUGGGAAUAAAACGUUCCACGUGUGGGAUUUUGUAUGUACCAUAUGAAUAAGGAUCGGCUAACUCCGUGCCAGCAGCCGCGGUAAUACGGAGGAUGCGAGCGUUAUUCGGAUUUAUUGGGUUUAAAGGGAGCGUAGGUUGGUUGGUAAGUCAGUUGUGAAAGUUUGGGGCCUAACCCUAAAAUUGCAGUUGAAACUUGCAGUCUUGAGUACAGUAGAGGUGAGCGGAAUUCGUGGUGUAGCGGUGAAAUGCUUAGAUAUCACGAAGAACUCCGAUUGCGAAGGCAGUUCACUGGACUGCAACUGACACUGAGGCUCGAAAGUGUGGGUAUCAAACAGGAUUAGAUACCCGAGUAGUC
rnacentral:rRNA from 1 species